rnacentral:rRNA from 1 species
GACGGGGCCGCACAAGCGGUGGAGCAUGUGGUUAAUUCGACGCAACGCGAAGACCUUACCUGGGCUUGACAUCCCGAUCGUACCUGCUGGAAACAGCGGGGUCAGUUCGGCUGGAUCGGAGACAGGUGCUGCAUGGCUGUCGUCAGCUCGUGUCGUGAGAUGUUGGGUUAAGUCCCGCAACGAGCGCAACCCUUGUCCUUAGUUGCCAUCAUUUAGUUGGGCACUCUAAGAAGACUGCCGGUGUUAAACCGGAGGAAGGUGGGGGAUGACGUCAAGUCCUCAUGGCCCUUAUGUCCAGGGCUACACACGUGCUACAAUGGCCGGUACAAAGGGCAGCAAAGCCGCGAGGUGGAGCCAAUCCCAGAAAGCCGGUCUCAGUUCGGAUUGGAGUCUGCAACUCGACUCCAUGAAGUUGGAAUCGCUAGUAAUCGCGGAUCAGCAUGCCCGCGGUCGAAUACGUUCCGGGCCUU